UACGUAGGGUGCGAGCGUUGUCCGGAAUUAUUGGGCGUAAAGGGCUCGUAGGCGGUCUGUUGCGUCAGGAGUGAAAACUCGGGGCUUAACCCCGAGCCUGCUUCUGAUACGGGCAGACUAGAGGUAUGCAGGGGAGAACGGAAUUCCUGGUGUAGCGGUGAAAUGCGCAGAUAUCAGGAGGAACACCGGUGGCGAAGGCGGUUCUCUGGGCAUUACCUGACACUGAUGCGCGACAGCAUGGGGAGCAAACAGG
rnacentral:rRNA from 1 species